CCUUCUAUUUCUAUCUCCACCCCUCCGUCAAGUGUCAAUUCUGCUCCACCGCAAUCAAUCAGUUAUUUGUCAGUCGCUGUCAAUCCGCCGCUUGAUUUAUGUCAGCUAUUGUGGCUGAUUACAUGCCAGUGUGACUGCGGGGAGAGAACAAAUGGGGGAGAGAGAGAGAGACCUUCUGCGAGAGGGAGAGAGAGAGAGAGAGACAGAGAGGGAGAGAAAGGAAAAAGAGGAAUGGUGCUGUCAGGGCCCAACCCCGAGAAAGAGAAGUUGGAAAAUGCCUUGAACUAUUCACCGCGGAAAUGGCUAAUCAGUAUUGAGGCUGCGGGGCAAUCGGGCAGCUUUUCAAUGCGGUUUCCCUUUCAUCUCAAUCGGGAUGGAGGCGCUCAAUUAAAAGCCUAUCAGUUUGUCAACUCGGAGAGCAAGAAAACCUGGAGUGGACGGUCAAGGGGGCAGAAAAGGUCCUUCCCUGGAAAUAAGAAAUCAACAAAUACAGCGGGGGGAAGAAGUUUUCCUAGAAUUAAAAAAAAUAUAGACGGUAUAACUAAAAACAGGCAGUGUCUUGGAGUCCAUAAUCUGCCGCAAAAUACAAUUUGGGAAGCAGGUUAUGGUGAAUAAGAUAAAACCAAACAGACGUUUUAUCCACAUGGGCAAAAUAAGCAGAGCGUAAGGAAACAAUUUACAAAUAAAUCUAAUAAUGCACAAAGAGUAAAAACACACUUAUCCCAACAAAGGGUAUGAAAAAAUAGAUUGAGCCCAUAUAUGUAUAUAGGCCUGUUCUGGUACACCGUGUAUGAACAAAUAAAAACGAGCAAUGCUCCUCUGUCUUAUGAAGACAUAACUCAUAAUUCUGAGAUAAUUCAAAUGAACAAAAAUGCUCCGGUGGUUCUUUUCAAUUUCACGUGAGAGUUAGAGAUGAGGGAAGGAGAA